rnacentral:rRNA from 1 species
UGCUAUAAUUGUCAGCUAAGUGGCGCACGGGUGAGUAAUGUAUAGAUAACCUGCCCUUAAGAAAGGAAUAACAGUUGGAAACGACUGCUAAUGCCCUAUAUGCCUUUAAUACAUAAGUAUGCAAGGGAAACGCUUUAGUGCUUAAGGAUGGGUCUGUAUGGUAUCAGCUUGUUGGUGAGGUAAUGGCUCACCAAGGCUAUGACGCCUAACUGGUUUGAGAGGAUGAUCAGUCACACUGGAACUGAGACACGGUCCAGACUCCUACGGGAGGCAGCAGUGGGGAAUAUUGCACAAUGGACGAAAGUCUGAUGCAGCAACGCCGCGUGGAGGAUGACACAUUUCGGUGCGUAAACUCCUUUUAUAUAGGAAGAUAAUGACGGUACUAUAUGAAUAAGCACCGGCUAACUCCGUGCCAGCAGCCGCGGUAAUACUGAGGGUGCAAGCGUUACUCGGAAUCACUGGGCGUAAAGAGCGUGUAGGCGGGUAUAUAAGUCAGAAGUGAAAUCCAAUAGCUCAACUAUUGAACUGCUUUUGAAACUGUAUACCUAGAAUGUGGGAGAGGUAGAUGGAAUUUCUGGUGUAGGGGUAAAAUCCGUAGAGAUCAGAAGGAAUACCGAUUGCGAAGGCGAUCUACUGGAACAUUAUUGACGCUGAGACGCGAAAGCGUGGGGAGCAAACAGGAUUAGAUACCCUGGUAGUCCACGCCCUAAACGAUGUACACUAGUUGUUGUGAGGCUCGACCUUGCAGUAAUGCAGUUAACACAUUAAGUGUACCGCCUGGGGAGUACGGUCGCAAGAUU